rnacentral:misc_RNA from 1 species
GCAACAUGAACAAUUGAAAAUACACAAAGGACACUGGUAAUGCCAUAUAGAAUUUGUAUCAGACAUGACCAAGUUGAAACAUGUUCCUGGAAGGAACAUACGACAACCUACUUUGUUACUAGCUUCUGUAAAUGAUCGAGAUAUUAGAUAGUCCAAACUGAUCCAUAUCUUUACCUUGGAAAGCUGUGAAAUGUAAAACUUUUGGCAAAAGCAUAUAAAUGAAGAUAACUUGCAACUUUACUAUUCAUUUAAUUCCUUUUUUCACAGUAUUUAGAUGUUAAACUGGCUGGAGAAUUCAGAGACAAAUUGACACUCCACAAGUGUCAGUGACCCAGAUAACAAGAAUUUAAGAUAAAUUGGCCAACAAAUGAACGCAGUUAUUUUACAGCAAAUAAGCCCAACAGCUACAAUUUUUCCAUUAGUUUAGAACUCUAGAUGGAAACAACAAGAG